AGCCCUCUGUGCUGGGUUUUAUGUCGUCCAAUAACUCACAACUAUGUAAUUUAUUUCCUUUUUACAGAUAAAGAAAUGGGGGCUCAGAGCAGUCAAGAACAUGCCCCAAGUUAUUCGUCAGUGAGGCGGAAAUUGUGGUGUCCUUGUUUUCUGUGGGUCAGGAGAUCAGAAAUGGUUCUAUUUCAAGGUCUCUCACAGGGCUGCAAUCAAGAUGUUGGCAUGGCUGGGGUCUCAUCUGAAGGCUGGACUGGAGAAUCUACUUCCAAACUUAUGUGGUAGUUGGAAGAGUUUAGUUCCUCAAGGCUGCUAAACUGAUGGCCUGUGUUCCUUGCCUCUGGGAUGGUAGCUUGCUUCAACAAAGUGUGCAAGCAGAGAAGACAGAGAGAGUCC
rnacentral:lncRNA from 10 species